GCCGGGGUGGCGGAACUGGUAGACGCGCACGGUUCAGGGCCGUGUCCCGCAAGGGGUAAGGGUUCGAGUCCCUUUCCCGGCA
rnacentral:tRNA from 1 species